rnacentral:rRNA from 1 species
AACGAACGCUGGCGGCAUGCCUAACACAUGCAAGUCGAACGAGAUCUUCGGGUCUAGUGGCGCACGGGUGCGUAACGCGUGGGAAUCUGCCCUUUGGUUCGGAAUAACAGUUGGAAACGACUGCUAAUACCGGAUGAUGACGAAAGUCCAAAGACUUAUCGCCAGAGGAUGAGCCCGCGUAGGAUUAGCUAGGUGGUGUGGUAAAGGCGCACCAAGGCGACGAUCCUUAGCUGGUGUGAGAGGAUGAUCAGCCACACUGGGACUGAGACACGGCCCAGACUCCGAGAGAGGGCGAAAGUGGGAAAAAUGGGAAAGUGGCCGAAACCCUGAUCCCGCAUUCCCGCUUGAGUGAUGAAGCCCUUAGGGUUGUAACGCUCUUUUACCGGGGAUGAUAAGGACAGUACCGGGAGAAUAAGCUCCGGCUAACUCCGUGCAAGCCGCCGCCGUAA